GUUGAGCCCAGGAAUUCUCGCUAUGAUGAUGGCACUGCAUUCCAGCCUAGGUGACAGAGCAAGAUCCUGUCUCUAAAAAAUAAAGAGAAAUUUGCAUCCCAAUGUUGGAGGUGGGGCCUAAUGGGUGGUGUUUGGGUCAUGAGGGCCAACCCCUCAGGAAUGUCUUGGUGCAGUCCUCUCUGUGAGUUCCCACAAGAGUUCCCCUGAGAGCUGGUUGUGAAAAAGAGCCUGGCACUUCCUUCCCCUCUUUCCUGCUUCUCUCUCGCCAUGUGAUCUGCACACGCUAGGCCUCUGUCCCUUCUGCAGUGAGUGGAAGCAGUCUCAGGCCCUCAC
rnacentral:lncRNA from 10 species